rnacentral:rRNA from 1 species
AGUGAACGCUGGCGGUAGGCCUAGCACAUGCAAGUCGAACGGCAGCACAGUAAGAACUUGCUCUUACGGGUGGCGAGUGGCGGACGGGUGAGGAAUACAUCGGAAUCUACUUUUUCGUGGGGGAUAACGUAGGGAAACUUACGCUAAUACCGCAUACGGCCUACGGGUGAAAGCAGGGGAUCUUCGGACCUUGCGCGAUUGAAUGAGCCGAUGUCGGAUUAGCUAGUUGGCGGGGUAAAGGCCCACCAAGGCGACGAUCCGUAGCUGGUCUGAGAGGAUGAUCAGCCACACUGGAACUGAGACACGGUCCAGACUCCUACGGGAGGCAGCAGUGGGGAAUAUUGGACAAUGGGCGCAAGCCUGAUCCAGCCAUACCGCGUGGGUGAAGAAGGCCUUCGGGUUGUAAAGCCCUUUUGUUGGGAAAGAAAAGCAGCAGGUUAAUACCCCGCUGUUCUGACGGUACCCAAAGAAUAAGCACCGGCUAACUUCGUG